UAGAGUUUGAUCCUGGCUCAGGACGAACGCUGGCGGCGUGCUUAACACAUGCAAGUCGAACGGGGUGUUUAUUUCGGUAAACACCAAGUGGCGAACGGGUGAGUAACGCGUAAGCAAUCUACCUUCAAGAUGGGGACAACACUUCGAAAGGGGUGCUAAUACCGAAUGAAUGUAAGAGUAUCGCAUGAGACACUUACUAAAGGAGGCCUCUGAAAAUGCUUCCGCUUGAAGAUGAGCUUGCGUCUGAUUAGCUAGUUGGUGAGGGUAAAGGCCCACCAAGGCGACGAUCAGUAGCCGGUCUGAGAGGAUGAACGGCCACAUUGGGACUGAGACACGGCCCAGACUCCUACGGGAGGCAGCAGUGGGGAAUCUUCCGCAAUGGGCGAAAGCCUGACGGAGCAACGCCGCGUGAACGAUGAAGGUCUUAGGAUCGUAAAGUUCUGUUGUUAGGGACGAAGGGUAAGAAUCAUAAUAAGGUUUUUAUUUGACGGUACCUAACGAGGAAGCCACGGCUAACUACGUGCCAGCAGCCGCGGUAAUACGUAGGCGGCAAGCGUUGUCCGGAAUUAUUGGGCGUAAAGGGAGCGCAGGUGGGAAACUAAGCGGAUCUUAAAAGUGCGGGGCUCAACCCCGUGAUGGGGUCCGAACUGGUUUUCUUGAGUGCAGGAGAGGAAAGCGGAAUUCCCAGUGUAGCGGUGAAAUGCGUAGAUAUUGGGAAGAACACCAGUGGCGAAGGCGGCUUUCUGGACUGUAACUGACGCUGAGGCUCGAAAGCUAGGGUAGCGAACGGGAUUAGAUACCCCGGUAGUCCUAGCCGUAAACGAUGGAUACUAGGUGUGGGAGGUAUCGACUCCUUCCGUGCCGGAGU
rnacentral:rRNA from 1 species